CCUACGGGAGGCAGCAGUAAGGAAUAUUGGUCAAUGGACGCAAGUCUGAACCAGCCAUGCCGCGUGCAGGAUGAAGGCCCUCUGGGUUGUAAACUGCUUUUAUCUGGGACGAAAAAGGGGCUUUCUAGCUCAACUGACGGUACCAGAGGAAUAAGCACCGGCUAACUCCGUGCCAGCAGCCGCGGUAAUACGGAGGGUGCAAGCGUUAUCCGGAUUUACUGGGUUUAAAGGGUGCGUAGGUGGGUAAGUAAGUCAGUGGUGAAAUCUUCAAGCUUAACUUGGAAACUGCCAUUGAUACUAUUUAUCUUGAAUACUCUGGAGGUAAGCGGAAUAUGUCAUGUAGCGGUGAAAUGCUUAGAUAUGACAUAGAACACCAAUUGCGAAGGCAGCUUACUACAUAGUUAUUGACACUGAGGCACGAAAGCGUGGGGAUCAAACAGGAUUAGAUACCCUGGUAGUCCACGCCCUAAACCGAUGGAUACUCGACAUCAGCGAUACACUGUUGGUGUCUGAGCGAAAGCAUUAAGUAUCCCACCUGGGAAGUACGACCGCAAGGUUGAAACUCAAAGGAAUUGACGG
rnacentral:rRNA from 1 species